GGAGUCUGGGCCGUAUCUCAGUCCCAAUGUGCCCGAUCACCCUCUUAGGCCGGGUAACUAUCGUUGCCUUGGUGGGCCGUUACCUCACCAACUAGCUAAUAGUACGCGGGCCGCUCUUCGUGCGAAUCAAAAGAUCCUUUCCUGCAUGUCCUCUGACAACAUGCAGCGUAUCCGGUAUUAUCUCCUAUUUCUAGGAGCUAUCCCCGUCACAAAGGUACGUCACCCACGCGUUACUCACCAGUCCGCCGCUCUAGGAUUAGUGCAAGCACCAAUCUUACCGCUCGACUUGCAUGCUUAAGACGCGCCGCCAGCGUUCGUU
rnacentral:rRNA from 1 species